rnacentral:lncRNA from 1 species
AAAAUCACCUUCAUCCAAUGUCGUUAACCACUAAACCUCCAUAGAAAAACCAGCCGCCGCCGAAUCUAACACCAUCCGAAAACCUUCCUCACCACCAUAAACUUCAUCAUCUUCAUCGCAACACAACCUCACCGCCACUGCGAAUCGCUUCCUUACCGUUCACCCUUGAAACCCUCCACCGUCAAAUCUUCACCUCAUCCGUAACUCUCCUUCGCCGUCAAACCUCCGCCAUCACUCCAAAUCGAAAACCCUCACCCUUCCGUCAUCACCAUCCGAAAAUCUCUCUCCGCCGUAACCCAUCAACAGACCCUUCUUCGCCGUCGCCGACACACUGUUACUCGGUUUCUCUACCCUUCGAAACUCCUUCGGAUUCGCCGCAUGCCAACGCUCUCUCCGUCACCGUACAACCUUUUUCCUGUGUGUCCACAUCGCAACAACAAAACUCAAGAUAGCAGUCACAAAAAGCUUUGUUGGUUUUGUUGACCAGAGGUUUGUAAGCAAGAUUGUAUGUUUUGAUUCAAAGUUGAAGACGAAUUCGGUUCCGGUUGCAAUCUCGUCGGAUUCCGUUUCACCAAAUACAAGAUGCAACAACAUGGUACAACAGCGGUGUCGACGGUAAUUUCUGGUCUUCGUGUGUUUCAUCGUUACAGAUCAUGUUCGGAUUUCCAUUUGGCUACACUGAUUUAUUUUGACAUUAACAAAACAUUGCAUUGCUUUGAUUCGGUUUAUGAUUAUAGAUUUAAGCUGUUCAGAUUUAAGUUGUUUUGAUUCGGUUUAUGAUUGUAGAUUUAAGCUGUUUAGAUUUAAGUUGUUUUGAUUCAGUUUAUGAUUGUGGAUUUAAGCUGUUUAGAUUUAAGUUAUUUUGAGUCGGUUUAUGAUUGUGGAUUUAAGCCGUUUAGAUUUAAUUUAGUUUCGGUAACAGGCAAUUUGUGAUUUAUUGGUUUGGUUUAUUGUUGAGCAUCACGCUGUUUAGGUUAUCAUUGGUUUUGUGCUGCAUUCGUUGGUUUAUUUUUCGAAUGUGAUGUUUUGAAGCGUUAAAUGCGUGUGUGAUUGCCGAAAAUUUCUGGCCAAUGCGAUUAUAACUAUUGCUACAAAUGAAUUUUGAUUUUUUUGCUGAGAUGUUUAUCCAUCGCAAAUGUUGAGGAUAGCCACUGUUGUUAUUCAUAUAUAUUGACUUAUGCUUCUCCUUUAUGCAUUCUGUUGGUUUCUUGGCAUGAUGAGUGGCCCCUGCGAUACUUUUUCAAAUUGGCUGAUCAAGGAUACAUUGUUCUUUUUUAUUCAUUUUCUGGGUGAAGGUUCUAAGCUUUGUUAAAAGUUAUGAUUAAAUUACCUUUUCUUAAAAAUUUUGUGAGGUAGUAACUGCGUUGCAAUAAUGACAAAUCAUUUCAAAAUUCAUAAAACAAAAACCAUUUAAUGACAAAUCAUUUCAAAUUUCAUAAAACAAAAAAACCAUUUCAUACAAAUCAUUUCAGAUUUCAUAAAACAAAAAAACCAUUUCAUACAAAUCAUUUCAGAUUUCAUAAAACAAAAACCAUUUCAUGCCAUCAUUUCAAAUUUCAUAAAACAAAAACCAUUUCAUGCAAUCAUUUCAAAUUUCAUAAAACAAAAACCAUUUCAUGCAAUCAUUUUCAAUUUUAUUCAAUAUCAAUUCAUCAAACCAAUUUCAAAAAGCACAAAUCAUACAAUUCUCGAUUUAAAUAUUGAGCCCAUUUUCAAAAUAAACCCCC